CAACCUUCAAGCACUGCUUGGUAUUGGAUGUCACCACUUGUGGUGUAUCUCAAAAGUAUUGGUAGUAGCAUUCAGCUUCUAGCAGAGUAAAUUUCUUGCUUUGGAGCUAAAUGUUUAAUUGCUAGAACCCCUAAUUUAUUAAA
rnacentral:misc_RNA from 1 species